UACCUUCCGUCUCUUUUUCAUCAGUUCACCGACAACUAAUCAUAGAGGGAGUGUGAGACAGGUUACAUCAUUAUGUUAGAAAACAAGCCCAUACCAUCUAUUCGACUAUCAAAUGUAAGUACAGAAAAUCAUAGAAAAUGGCGGUUGUUAAGUUUUAGGAAACAAGGUAUAACUUAAUUGUAGGAGCUUAUUAUACGAACUAUACGAUGACUUUAUUAAAAUUGAUAAAAAAAUACCCAACUGCAACGUUAUACUGUUGCACAUUUUUUCUAUAGAAAAUACAUAUUUCAAAGCAUAAAUUGAAUUCUAGAAGUUAUAAAUGCAUUCUUAUUGAUUGGUGGCCUUCGGAUGUUGUCUGUUUUACGGUCGGGUUGUUGUCUCUUUGACACAUUCCCAUCUUCCAUUAUCAAUUUUAUUUGUAAUACAAAGUCAAAAUUGUUAUUGAUGUCUAGCAAUAUGAAAACACAAUGCAUUACACCAAAUUGCUAAUAACCUUCCGAAGCCAGUGUCACUGAUAUCCGUAUGUAUAGUGUAAUUAACUAUCCUUUAUGUUUCUUUUUUUUUAUUUCAGACUUGAAUGUUUAUGCAAAUUGAAUUGAGUUCUUAAAACUUCGAUUGUAGCACAUUAUAAACGAAGCUCCUAAUAGCAACACUAUGCGUACAUUUAAACAUUUUGCAACCGUUUGAGUUUUCCAAACGAAUGAUAGUUUUACUUCAAUUACAUUAUGUUGUCAUUAUGACUGGGUAUAAUUGUACCUAAGAUUAACAUUAUGAACUGAUAGAUUCAGCAAAUAAAGUAUAAAUCGAUUGGCAUGCAUAAUAAUAAAUAGAACCAUAUGUUUUAAGAUGUUUUUUUCAAAUUCUCACGAAAUGACAGAAAUUAAAGUACGAAUAUUUAGGAUAGCUAAAGAGUAUCAUAGAGGCUAUCCUCAUAAACAUAAUAUACCAGUGUCAAAGUUUUCUUUAUAAGUUUAUUUAUAUUUUCAGAAGUAGAAACAGUCACAUUAGAUGGCAAAAUGAUGAUUAUCAAACUAUAUGAACUGGAGGAUAUUGGAAAAUUCUUUGUCUUUUUUCAUUUUAUGAGUAAAAAGACAAACAAACAAAGUUUCGCAAAGAAAUUAAACAUUCCAGUCUGAAUAUAGUAGCCUAGACAUGGAAAUAAACGACCCUACAAGAAGACAGGUUGAAGUUUAAAAUUAAACAAUGAUGAGUCGUUUAUAAAAGUAAAGAAGAAUAGUUGAAGCUUAAGUAAAGAUGACUGAAUGUUUUUCAAACUAUAUAUGUUGACGCUUCAUCUAAUUUGAUGUUAGUUUAUAUAUAAUGAUUUAAUAUACUCGUUACUUGUAUUUACAGACGAAAACUCUACAAGAAUGAGUAAGGCAGAGAUAUAGACAAAAUUGAAUAUAAAAGCAGUUUCAUAUGAUCAUGUAAAAUAAAUAAGUUAUUUCGAAGAUGUGUGUUAGUUCGCUCAAAUUACUGUAGAUUCGUGUAAUUUGUUUUUUUUUUUAUCGAUCUUCUUGGUUUGUGGAAAACUUGCAUAUUCGUGGAAAUUACAUUUCUUGGUUUUAGCAAAGUCUGCCUAAAAUUCGUAAGGUGUUUUAACUCGUGGUUCCCCUGCGCCCACGAAAAUUCGAAUCCAACGAAUAUUAUUGAAUUAGGAGAUAACUGUAUUGUAUUUUAAGCUCCGACGGCAUCAAUUGGGGAUUUGAUGGUCGCAAAUUAAGUUAACUGGCGACGCGUGAGCGGAGACAGUAAACGGGUAUUAGCGACCAUUAAAUCCCAAACUGAUGCCGUCGGAGCUUAAAAUACAAUAUUGUUAUCUACAUUCUAUGAAACUAACAUAAAACCACGUUAAAACAUGUAAUAAAAAUCUGUCAAAUGCCGUCUGUGCUUGGCGUACGUCCCAUAGCAUCAAUUGUCAAUCCAUGUAAAAAAAGUAACGUUAUCCAAUCAAAAUAAACGGUACAAACGUUGUUGCAUUAGAAUCCACAUUACUCUAUGUUUUUCGAUACAGAUGUAAAGCAACAUGCACAAGUUCCACCAAAUGUUUUUCACAAUAAGGUUGUUUUUUAACAUAAUAGAUGAUAAUGCAAAAUUUAAAAAGCCAUCACUGUUUAACAACAAACUCAACUACAUGUUCAGUACAUAUACUGCUGUCAUUGAUUUCUGUUGAUUGUAUCGCUUCAUUGUCAGGUUAUUCUCUAACCAAGGAAAAUCAAAAAACAAUAUAAGCUAUACUCGUCCGCCUUUUUAUUAAAAAAAACCCACUACCAUACGACGAAUAUUAUAGCAAAACAGAUGAAGACCAACAACUUAUUGAUAUAAGAUAAACUCAUAUUACAUAAAACCCUAUAUUUAAUUGAAAAAAACUAUGUAUUGGUAUAAUAAAAUUUGAAUAACAAC
rnacentral:lncRNA from 1 species